GAUGAACGCUAGCUACAGGCUUAACACAUGCAAGUCGAGGGGCAGCACGGAGAUAGCUUGCUAUCUUGGGUGGCGACCGGCGCACGGGUGAGUAACGCGUAUCCAACCUGCCCAUUACUCAGGGAUAGCCUUGCGAAAGUAAGAUUAAUACCUGAUGUUGUUAAAAACCCGCAUGAGUUUUUAACCAAAGAUUUAUUGGUAAUGGAUGGGGAUGCGUGACAUUAGGUAGUUGGUGAGGUAACGGCUCACCAAGCCUACGAUGUCUAGGGGUUCUGAGAGGAAGGUCCCCCACACUGGAACUGAGACACGGUCCAG
rnacentral:rRNA from 1 species